rnacentral:tRNA from 1 species
GCGCCCGUAGCUCAGUCUGGAUAGAGCAACGGACUACGAAUCCGUGUGUCGGAGGUUCGAAUCCUCUCGGGCGCGCCA